rnacentral:rRNA from 1 species
UACGUAGGUGGCAAGCGUUAUCCGGAAUUAUUGGGCGUAAAGCGCGCGCAGGUGGUUUCUUAAGUCUGAUGUGAAAGCCCACGGCUCGACCGUGGAGGGUCAUUGGAAACUGGGAGACUUGAGUGCAGAAGAGGAAAGUGGAAUUCCAUGUGUAGCGGUGAAAUGCGUAGAGAUAUGGAGGAACACCAGUGGCGAAGGCGACUUUCUGGUCUGUAACUGACACUGAGGCGCGAAAGCGUGGGGAGCAAACAGG